UACCAACUUUUUAGUGAAACAAAAUCGCGAAAAGCCCAUGUAUAAUAUGCCAGAGCAAAAGAAUGAUUGGGUGUCCACAUAACUAAACAUAGUUAAAGUCGGCCAAUAAUCGUUCGGACA
rnacentral:snoRNA from 1 species